UCAAAUAUUGAGUAGAAUUCAGAUGCAGC
rnacentral:piRNA from 1 species